rnacentral:tRNA from 1 species
AGGCGGUUAACUCAGCGGUAGAGUGCCACCUUCACACGGUGGAAGUCAUUGGUUCAAUUCCAAUACCGCCUA